rnacentral:rRNA from 1 species
AUUGAACGCUGGCGGCAGGCCUAACACAUGCAAGUCGAGCGGCAGCGGGAAAGUAGCUUGCUACUUUUGCCGGCGAGCGGCGGACGGGUGAGUAAUGCCUGGGAAAUUGCCCAGUCGAGGGGGAUAACAGUUGGAAACGACUGCUAAUACCGCAUACGCCCUACGGGGGAAAGCAGGGGGCCUUCGGGCCUUGCGCGAUUGGAUAUGCCCAGGUGGGAUUAGCUAGUUGGUGAGGUAAUGGCUCACCAAGGCGACGAUCCCUAGCUGGUCUGAGAGGAUGAUGAGCCACACUGGAACAGAGACACGGUCCAGACUCCUACGGGAGGCAGCAGUGGGGAAUAUUGCACAAUGGGGGAAACCCGGAUGCAGCCAUGCCGCGUGUGUGAAGAAGGCCUUCGGGUUGUAAAGCACUUUCAGCGAGGAGGAAAGGUUGAUGCCUAAUACGUAUCAACUGUGACGUUACUCGCAGAAGAAGCACCGGCUAACUCCGUGCCAGCCGCCGCCGUAAAAC